rnacentral:misc_RNA from 1 species
GAUGAAGAAGGUAGCGAAAUGCGAUAAGUAAUGUGAAUUGCAGAAUUCAGUGAAUCAUCGAAUCUUUGAACGCACAUUGCGCCCGCCAGUAUUCUGGCGGGCAUGCCUGUCCGAGCGUCAUUUCAACCCUCGAACCCCUCCGGGGGGUCGGCGUUGGGGAUCGGCCCUUUACGGGGCCGGCCCCGAAAUACAGUGGCGGUCUCGCCGCAGCCUCUCCUGCGCAGUAGUUUGCACACUCGCAUCGGGAGCGCGGCGCGUCCACAGCCGUUAAACACCCCAAACUUCUGAAAUGUUGACCUCGGAUCAGGUAGGAAUACCCGCUGAACUUAAGCAUAUAAUAAGCGGAGGA